AUUGAACGCUGGCGGCAUGCCUUACACAUGCAAGUCGAACGGUAACGGGCCUUCGGGUGCCGACGAGUGGCGAACGGGUGAGUAAUGCAUCGGAACGUACCUUUCAGUGGGGGAUAACGUAGCGAAAGUUACGCUAAUACCGCAUAUUCUGUGAGCAGGAAAGCAGGGGAUCGCAAGACCUUGCGCUGAUUGAGCGGCCGAUGUCAGAUUAGCUAGUUGGUGAGGUAAAGGCUCACCAAGGCGACGAUCUGUAGCGGGUCUGAGAGGAUGAUCCGCCACACUGGAACUGAGACACGGGCCAGACUCCUACGGGAGGCAGCAGUGGGGAAUUUUGGACAAUGGGGGCAACCCUGAUCCAGCCAUGCCGCGUGAGUGAAGAAGGCUUUCGGGUUGUAAAGCUCUUUCGGCCGGGAAGAAAUCGCACGGGCUAAUACCCUGUGUGGAUGACGGUACCGGAAUAAGAAGCACCGGCUAACUACGUGCCAGCAGCCGCGGUAACAC
rnacentral:rRNA from 1 species